rnacentral:lncRNA from 1 species
AAGGGUGUUUAAAUUUAAAAAAAUUAAAAAGAAUUCUCUGACAAAAAUAUUCAAUAUAUAUUAUAUAUCUCUAAAACGUAAUAUUUUACCUAUAUACAUAAUAGUAUAAUUUUUCAAUGAAAGAGUGGUCUAUUAUAACUUCGUCCCAUAUCGAACCCGUACAAUUCAAAUUCUUAGUCCGCCUCUAUAUUCGGUGUGACGAACUCAUCAAUCUCUAACCACCUAGCAAUAAACAAUAAAAGGCUCUUCCUUUAAGUCUCUU